GUCCAGAUAGCUCAGUCAGUUGAGCAUCAGACUUUCAAUCUGAGGGUCCUGGGUUCAAGUCCCUGUUUGGGUG
rnacentral:tRNA from 1 species